rnacentral:rRNA from 1 species
UACAGAGGGGGCCAGCGUUAUUCGGAAUUAUUGGGCGUAAAGGGCGCGUAGGCGGCCAUGCGUGUCUUCCGUGAAAUCCCUCGGCUUAACUGAGGACGUGCGGAAGAAACUGCAAGGCUUGAGUCCGGAAGAGGAGAAUGGAAUUCCCGGUGUAGCGGUGAAAUGCGCAGAUAUCGGGAAGAACACCCGUGGCGAAGGCGGUUCUCUGGGACGGUACUGACGCUGAGACGCGAAAGCGUGGGGAGCGAACAGG